rnacentral:snoRNA from 1 species
GUGAUGGGGUGUGCCGCAUCUGACCUGUGACGACUAACCUCCGGCUGA